GCGUAACGCGUAUGGAACCUGGCCUGUUCAGGGGGAUAGCCCGGAGAAAUCCGGAUUAAUACCCCAUAACACCUUUUGAAGCAUUUCUUAAGGUUGAAAGCUGCGGCGGAACAGGAUGGCCAUGCGUGGCAUUAGCUAGUCGGCGGGGUAACGGCCCACCGAGGCUACGAUGCCUAGGGGUUCUGAGAGGACUGACCCCCACACUGGUACUGAGACACGGACCAGACUCC
rnacentral:rRNA from 1 species